rnacentral:rRNA from 1 species
AGAGGGUGCGAGCGUUAAUCGGAGUGACUGGGGCGUAAAGGGGCGUGUAGGUGGAUGAAUGAGUCAUGUGUGAAAUAUCUGGGGCUUAACCUGGAGGGUGUCAUGUGAUACUGUUUAUCUAGAGUAGAGCAGAGGGAAGUAGAAUUUCCGGUGUAGCGGUGAAAUGCGUAGAGAUCGGAAGGAAUACCAGUGGCGAAGGCGGCUUCCUGGGCUCAUACUGACACUGAGGCGCGAAAGCGUGGGUAGCGAACAGGAUUAGAUACCCUGGUAGUCCACGCUGUAAACGAUGAGAACUAGAUGCUUGUUUGUUAAUUCAAGUGAGUAUCGAAGCUAACGCAUUAAGUUCUCCGCCUGGGGAGUACGGUCGCAAGAUUA